AGUUGGUGGAGUGAUUUGUCUGCUUAAUUGCGUUAACGAACGAGACCUCGACCUGCUAAAUAGUGUGCCGAACGCUCCGGUGUUCGCGUACCACUUCUUAGAGGGACUAUCGGUUCUUAGCCGAUGGAAGUUCGAGGCAAUAACAGGU
rnacentral:rRNA from 1 species